GACGAACGCUGGCGGCGUGCCUAAUACAUGCAAGUAGAACGCACAGUUUAUACCGUAGCUUGCUACACCAUAGACUGUGAGUUGCGAAAGGGUGAGUAACGCGUAGGUAACCUGCCUGGUAGCGGGGGAUAACUAUUGGAAACGAUAGCUAAUACCGCAUAAUAUUAAUUAUUGCAUGAUAAUUGAUUGAAAGAUGCAACUGCAUCACUACCAGAUGGACCUGCGUUGUAUUAGCUAGUAGGUGAGGUAACGGCUCACCUAGGCGACGAUACGUAGCCGACCUGAGAGGGUGAUCGGCCACACUGGGACUGUGACACGGCCCAGACUCCUACGGGAGGGAGCAGUAGGGAAUCUUCGGCAAUGGACGAAAGUCUGACCGAGCAACGCCGCGUGAGUGAAGAAGGUUGUCGGAUCGUAAAGCUCUGUUGUAAGAGAAGAACGGGUGUGAGAGUGGAAAGUUCACACUGUGACGGUAUCUUACCAGAAAGGGACGGCUAACUACGUG
rnacentral:rRNA from 1 species